GUUCCCAUAGUUUAGCGGUAGAAUCCGUGCUUAGGAAGCACGUGACCCAGGUUCGACUCCUGGUGGGGACAC
rnacentral:tRNA from 1 species